rnacentral:rRNA from 1 species
UGGGGAAUAUUGCGCAAUGGACGAAAGUCUGACGCAGCGACGCCGCGUGAGGGAUGAAGGUUUUCGGAUCGUAAACCUCUGUCAGGAGGGAAGAAAGCGCAUGGCGCCAAUCAGCCAUGCGUUGACGGUACCUCCAAAGGAAGCGCCGGCUAACUCCGUGCCAGCAGCCGCGGUAAUACGGAGGGCGCGAGCGUUAAUCGGAAUUACUGGGCGUAAAGCGCGCGUAGGCUGUUGUGUAAGUUGGGGGUGAAAUCCCACGGCUCAACCGUGGAACAGCCCUUGAUACUGCGCGACUUGAAUCCGGGAGAGGGUGGCGGAAUUCCAGGUGUAGGAGUGAAAUCCGUAGAUAUCUGGAGGAACAUCAGUGGCGAAGGCGGCCACCUGGACCGGUAUUGACGCUGAGGCGCGAAAGCGUGGGGAGCAAACA